rnacentral:rRNA from 1 species
UGGGGAAUUUUGGACAAUGGGCGAAAGCCUGAUCCAGCAAUGCCGCGUGUGUGAAGAAGGCCUUCGGGUUGUAAAGCACUUUUGUCCGGAAAGAAAUCCUCUGGGUUAAUACCUCGGGGGGAUGACGGUACCGGAAGAAUAAGCACCGGCUAACUACGUGCCAGCAGCCGCGGUAAUACGUAGGGUGCAAGCGUUAAUCGGAAUUACUGGGCGUAAAGCGUGCGCAGGCGGUUUUGUAAGACGGAUGUGAAAUCCCCGGGCUUAACCUGGGAACUGCAUUCGUGACUGCAAGGCUAGAGUAUGGCAGAGGGGGGUAGAAUUCCACGUGUAGCAGUGAAAUGCGUAGAGAUGUGGAGGAAUACCGAUGGCGAAGGCAGCCCCCUGGGCCAAUACUGACGCUCAUGCACGAAAGCGUGGGGGAGCAAAACAGGAUUCAGAUACCCUGGUAGUCCACGCCCUAAACGAUGUCAACUAGUUGUUGGGGAUUCAUUUCCUUAGUAACGUGAGCUAACGCGUGAAGUUGACCGCCUGGGGAGUACGGUCGCAAGAUUAAAACUU